CGCAGGAGGCUAAUGACGCAUGGAGAUGGAAUCAUGUGUAAGCGUUAAGGGAGGAUACGAGUCAAAUGCUUGUAGCCAAUUUUGAGACGUGAUGCGGAGUGAAAUCAAAGUAGCGAAGGUCAUGAAGUCACACUGCCAAGAAAAGCUUCUAGCCAGAGAGCGAGUACCCGUACCGCAAACCGACACAGGUAGUCGAGGAGAGAAUCCUCAGGUGAGCGAGAGAACUCUCGUUAAGGAACUCGGCAAAAUAACCCCGUAACUUAGGGAGAAGGGGUGCUGAAGAGAAAUCAGCCGCAGUGAAGAGGCCCAAACAACUGUUUAUCAAAAACACAGGUAUCUGCAAAAUCGUAAGAUGACGUAUAGGUACUGACACCUGCCCGGUGCUGGAAGGUUAAGAGGAUAGCUUAGCGAAAGCGAAGGUUAGAAUUGAAGCCCCAGUAAACGGCGGCCGUAACUAUAACGGUCCUAAGGUAGCGAAAUUCCUUGUCGGGUAAGUUCCGACCUGCACGAAAGGUGUAAUGAUUUGGGCACUGUCUCAACGAGAGACUCGGUGAAAUUAUAAUACCCGUGAAGAUGCGGGUUACCCGCGACAGGACGGAAAGACCCCAUGGAGCUUUACUGUAGCUUGAUAUUGAGUAUUUGUUAAACAUGUACAGGAUAGGUAGGAGCCAGAGAAGAUAGGACGCCAGUUUUAUCAGAGGCAAUGUUGGGAUACUACCCUUGUUUGAUGGAUCCUCUAACUCGUCACACUAAGCGUGUGAGAGGACAGUGUCAGGUGGGCAGUUUGACUGGGGCGGUCGCCUCCUAAAGAGUAACGGAGGCGCCCAAAGGUUCCCUCAGAAUGGUUGGAAAUCAUUCGCAGAGUGUAAAGGUAGAAGGGAGCUUGACUGCGAGAGAGACAACUCGAGCAGGUACGAAAGUAGGGCUUAGUGAUCUGGUGGUACUGCAU
rnacentral:rRNA from 1 species